AAAGAACUAGUAGAUGUUCUUUAUAUAGGAUUUAAUUUGAUAUCCCUGGCAAACUUUUCAACCAACUGAAACUACAAUGGCAAUUGCGAACCUAGCUCGUAAGGAAACCACAUUCAAAGAUAAUUAACCAUUUAAAAGCUAUGUUUUAAUCAAAACAAGAAGUUCCUUGCCAUGUUAAUACAGAAAACUAUUGAAGUUCCAGGUAGACUUCCAAGCCAAGUGAGAUACGGCUAGCAUUGAUGAAGCUAGAUUGCAUAUAUGCCACAUUCAAUAUACAGAAAGCAAUAGAAGAAAUAAUCAAACAUUAGACUUUGGCACAACCAUGACACUUUU
rnacentral:lncRNA from 1 species